UUGCUUCAGCAGCACAUAUACUAAAAUUGUAAUGAUACAGAGAAGAUUACCAUGGCCCCUGCACAAGGAUGACAUGCAAAUUCGUGAAGCGUUCCAUAUUUUU
rnacentral:snRNA from 1 species